CAUGAUUCCAGCCCUUCAGCGCUGCCUUGGCUGUGCUGAUUGCUUAUUGCCCUCACCUGCACUGAGCUGGUUCCUAUUUAAACAGCUGCUCGUCACCAGCUCAGUGCGAGAUCGUCUGUUGCCACUGUCACAGCUUUCAAGCCUUGUCUCAUGUUUCAAAGUGUUUUCUGGUUUCUGAUCCUGCCUGGUUUUGACCACAGAUUUGUGCCUAAUCCUUCUGCUGUUGAAAGUCCUGUUGCUGAACCCUGCCUGUUUCUGACCCUGCCUCCUGCCUUCUGGAUUCUGGAUUUUCACUGCCUGAGACCCUCCCAUGCAUGACCCUGGACCGUUUCACGACUCAGCCUCUGAGAAACAAUGCUGAAAGCUGCUUCUCCUCGUUUGGUUCUGGUUCUG